rnacentral:rRNA from 1 species
AUUGAACGCUGGCGGCAGGCCUAACACAUGCAAGUCGAACGAGUGGCGGACGGGUGAGUAAUGUCUGGGAAACUGCCUGAUGGAGGGGGAUAACUACUGGAAACGGUAGCUAAUACCGCAUACCAUCAGAUGUGCCCAGAUGGGAUUAGCUAGUAGGUGGGGUAAAGGCUCACAUAGGCGACGAUCCCUAGCUGGUCUGAGAGGAUGACCAGCCACACUGGAACUGAGACACGGGACAGACUCCUACGGGAGGCAGCAGGGGGGAAUAUUGCACAAUGGGCGCAAGCCUGAGGCACCCAUGCCGCGGGGUGGAAGAAGGCCUUCGGGUUGUAAAGUCCUUUCAGCGGGGAGGCGUUACCCGCAGAAGAAGCACCGGCUAACUCCGUGCCAGCAGCCGCGGUAAUUC